GAUGAAGAACGUAGCGAAAUGCGAUAAGUAAUGCGAAUUGCAGAAUUCCAGUGAGUCAUCGAAUCUUUGAACGCACAUUGCGCCCCCUGGUAUUCCGGGGGGCAUGCCUGUCCGAGCGUCAUUGCUGCCCUCAAGCACGGCUUGUGUGUUGGGCCCCGUCCUCCGAUCCCGGGGGACGGGCCCGAAAGGCAGCGGCGGCACCGCGUCCGGUCCUCGAGCGUAUGGGGCUUUGUCACCCGCUCUGUAGGCCCGGCCGGCGCUUGCCGAUCAACCCAAAUUUUUAUCCAGGUUGACCUCGGAUCAGGUAGGGAUACCCGCUGAACUUAAGCAUAUCAAUAAGCGGAGGA
rnacentral:misc_RNA from 1 species